UAUCUAUACAAGUGUAUAUAUAUAUAUAUAUAUAUAUAUAUAUAUAUAUAUAUAUAUACGUCUGCGUAUAUACAUAUGUAUAUCAAUUCCGCGAUUAGUUCAUGUUGACAGACUUUGGAGUUGGAAACGUUUCUUCAGUCAAGCAUAGCUACUCGAACACGACGAGUGUUUUUAUUCGUUCGCGUCUUCGCAGAUUAGGCGUGUAAAAAAAGCUCGAAAAACGCAAGCGUGGUCGUCAAUCCCAUUGAAUCUUUAGCACCACGUGCUCACCGAGGACGGUCCACGUCUCACGUUUCGACGCUUCAUUACGCUUUCCUCGAGGAAAUCCGUGCCGGUUCGAAAGGCGCGCUAACGUCGCGUCGACCGCCGUAUCGACCACCGGGCGGCAGCCACGCCGAUUGGCUCGGCAAGGAUCACGUGACCCCGCUCAACAUCAAUUUGGACUACUGUCUGCUGGCAGUGCCAGGCGCACUUAUCAACGUACGCUUGAAGGGAAGAGAGGAACAAAGGAUCCGCGGAGACGGCCUCCGCUUUUCUCGUUUGUGUCGCUCGUUUCGUCAUCAGGAUUCUCUCGCGUUUUCAUCGUCUCGAGAUCACGUCACGGAAUCGUUUCUCCUCGAUCGAAAUUCGCGCGAACGGUACGUACAGUGUGAAGUGUCCGCGAACGCGACACUUUGACAGCUCGCCGUCGCCGUAACGGCGUCGUCGACGGAUCAUCGUCGGAUUUCGUCGAACGGUGUCAUUGGGAUCGAAGGGCAACGCGAAACUGACAGAACGCCGUCGUCGAGGCAUCGUGACUCCUCGACGCGAGACAAAUCCGCGAAACGUGAAAUAAUCUCGAUCCUCGGUGAUUUUUAAUUCCUCUAGUCUCUCUCUCUCUCUCUCUCUCUCUCUCUCUCUCUCUCUCUUUUUCGCGUUAGAGAGAGAAAUCUUUGAACCGAAUAUAGCUACGAAUACGUCUGUACGCCGCGAAUUUUGAAUAGUACUCUGCUAAUCUCGUCGGUCGCUUUUUGCGACCAGUAGUUCGCGGGCUUGGACAUGUACAGUAUGAACUAUAUCGCCAAGAUCAUCAGCAACUUCCGUCUCUUCUACAACGAGAUAAACGCCGCGACCCUUACCGGUGCGAUCGAUGUCAUCGUUAUCGAACAGCCGGACGGCACCUUCACGUGCUCGCCCUUUCAUGUCCGUUUCGGCAAACUUGGCGUACUUCGCUCUAGGGCGAAAGUGGUGGACAUCGAGAUAAAUGGAGAGCCUAGAGAGAUUCAUAUGAAACUUGGAGAUUCUGGCGAAGCCUUUUUUGUAGAGGAAGUUAGCUUAAAUGGAUCGCCGACAGAUGCUGAAAUUCCACCACAUUUGGCCUGUUCACCUAUACCCGAUGACAACUGCUUUCCACCAGCAAAAUUCAAUCUCUUAUCAGAUCUGCCUCAGGAGCAGAGAGAAAAGAUCCUCAUAGAUUCGGUUCUUUCUAUAGAAUGUGAGAAAUGGGAACAGAUGUCCGCCUUACCACCCGAUCAACGAGAGAAGUUUUUGAUAGAACAGUUCUCAGAUCUUCCUGCGGAACAUCGUGAGAAAUGGCUUCAGAUUGCUUCGUUGACUGUGGAAGAGCGAGAUGAGAUGUUUAAGGAAAGUUUUGGUACAAUAUCUUCAGAGCAGAAACAGCAGAUGAUCAGAGAAAUAUAUUCUGCCUUGAAGAAGGAGGACAAAGAGAAAUUGUUUAAAGAAAAUUUCCCAGAGCUUUCGAUCGAGCAGAGACAAAAUUUUGAGAAAGCUUUAUUGAGCGACUGGAAAGAGAAAGAGGAAAAUUGGGAAGAGAAGCAUAAUAAGAAUGAAGAUGAGGAAAUAUUUGAUAUGGAUGCUAUCAAUGAUGAACAACCAAAAUUGCCAGUUUCUUGCCCGAAAUCUUUCGUAGCUGUUACUUCAUCUGACAGAAUUCGCAAAAUCAGUGUAGUAAAUAAUGAUUUUAGACCAAUUAUGGAUGAUCCCCAAAGCAGUAGUAAGGAAAAAUCAAGUGACGAAUCAAAUUCAUCUUUGAAUAAAAAGAAUUUGAAAGAAGAAAACGUUGAAGAGGCAAAAAGUAAUAAUUCCACUAAGAGGAAACGCAAGAGGAAGAGUGUUAUGAAGAAAAAAGGCUUGCAGAGAAAAACUAGCAAUGGCAGCAGCAGCCAAACAGAAAUGAGCGAGGCAGAUGCGCUAGUUACCGAGGAAUCAAUUAGUGAAACUGGACCUACACCAGUCACAGAAGUUGAAAAGAAGAAUGAUAUGGAACCAAUAACAUACUCUCAGGAUAUAGUUGAGAAGCGUCCUGAAACUGAUUUUCACUUCUUCAGUGAUUCAGAAGUUACCAAGAACAAAGACUCCAGAUCAUGUUCACCUGUUCAAUCUGAUACGGAAUUCGAAGUACGUAAAAUUACACAAGAGAGUAGUGAGAGAGAAGACGACAAGGGUCAUCAGCAAAGUUGGAGAUGGGGUGAAUUGCCAAGUCCACCUCCAGAGUCAGUGUCACAUCGGAAUUCAUUAAAUUCUUCAACAACAGCUAGUCAACCAAAUAAAGAUGCACAACGAUCUAUGCUCAGUGGCAUGUUCUCCUUUAUGAAGAAGACUUCUCGCGUAAGACACAAUCCAGAAUCAGAGGGAAUUUAUCUUAGCGAUCUUAAUGCCGACGAACUGGACCCUGAAGUUGCGGCUUUGUAUUUUCCUUCUUCGCAUCGAGGUUCAACGGUGGUUAAAGAUGAAAAAGUAAUGGACGAAGAGGACACAGAAUCUGGUAAUGGGCCUAGCUUACCUCAAAGCCCCAACAGUGUUGAGGGAGCCAUUGGUGGACCAAAGUCCUUAGACAGCGAUUUCGAGGAACCAAAGCAUUCUAUAUUCGAUAAUAAUGUAGAGAUAAGUAUGUCAUUGUGCGGUGGUCUAGACAAUGAGAAUGGUCCUUCGAAGGAAGCUUUUCAAGAAAAUUUACUGCACUUUGAGGACGUUUGUGCUGAUCCUAAAUUAUACGAAAAUCCGAACUUGGUCGUAAGAAUCAACGGAAAAUUCUACAAUUGGGCUACAGCCUGUCCAAUAGUGCUGACCUAUGCUGUUUUUCAAAGACACUUACCGCAACGUGCGAUCGAAAAUCUAUACAUACCGUUGCCGGCGCAUGAGGAUAAGAAGCGGCAGAGUAACGGCAAACCCGAGAGUCGUAGCGGAUACAGUUCUUGGUUUUCUUGGAGACGUUCCACGCAACCAUCUAAACCACAGGACAUUAAUCAAACCGAGGAAAGUGCCGUGCAGUUAUCUGAACAGAUUUUGGAAACCAAAGUUGCAACAAACGAAGAAUUACCCUCUGUUAACAGAGAGGAAAAGACUGAGCAAAACAUAGACUUGCCAAGCUCAACAGAGGCGAUAGAAACUUGUGCAAGAUUAACACCUGCAUUAAAUGAAACUGCACUUGCAAAGACUGAGAAAACGCAUGAGAGAGAGGGCGAAGGGUAUAGCGGCGGUGAGGAUUCCGACAGUAAUCAUAACGAACCACCAGGUAUUAAGAUACCUAUUGAAAGAAGACCGUAUUACGAAUCCACAGAGAAGUAUCGUAAAACUUUACGAUUGUCAUCUGAGCAGAUUGCCAGCCUUAAUUUGAAAGACGGAGCUAACGAAGUGGUUUUUAGCGUAACAACCGCUUAUCAAGGUACGAAACGUUGCAAAUGUCACAUCUACAAAUGGAAAUGGGAUGACAAGAUCGUCAUCUCUGAUAUCGAUGGCACUAUUACGAAAUCGGAUGUCCUGGGCCACAUUCUACCGAUAGUAGGCAAAGAUUGGGCUCAAUCAGGUGUCGCUCAAUUGUUCACUAAAAUCAAGAACAAUGGUUAUAAGUUACUAUACCUUUCGGCGAGGGCGAUUGGCCAGGCUGGAGGUACACGGGAAUAUUUGAGGAAUUUGAGGCAAGGAGAUCUGACAUUGCCGGAAGGUCCAUUACUCUUGAAUCCUACUAGCUUGAUCUUGGCAUUCCAUCGUGAGGUGAUAGAAAAGAAGCCGGAAGAAUUCAAAAUAUCCUGUCUAAAAGAUAUUCAAGCGUUAUUCCCCGAAGGAUCCGAGCCAUUUUAUGCUGGAUAUGGAAAUCGUAUAAAUGAUGUAUGGGCAUAUCGAGCAGUGUGCAUUCCUAUAAUGCGGAUUUUCACCAUCAACCAUCGAGGAGAAUUGAAACACGAAUUGACACAAACAUUCCAAUCCUCUUAUGCGCGUCAAUGCAAUAUCAUCAAUGAAUUGUUCCCACCAACAAUGCCAAACGUCUACUGAUCGGCACAACCAUAAAUUUUAUCAAAUAAAUUAAUUAAAUUAAUUCAAGUAUCAUUAUAUACAGCAAAAUGCCAAUAGUAUCCGGCUAAAUUUAAUGCAUUCUUGUGUUAUGCUUGGAACAUAUUGCCUUGUAUAAUACAAUCUAUGCUUUAUUUUUAGAUAAUUGCCUAAGUACAAAGUUGAAACGCACAUUUUUUUAUGCACGAAUAAUAUGAUAGAUUAUCAGAUAAAAAAAAAACUUAUUUGCAAUUAUAAAUAUUUAAACCGGAUACAUCCAAUGUAAAUAAUACAUCAAAUAGAAAUGCAAAUUAGAUACUUUAAUAUAUUAUACUAUGUUUCGGGAUAUAUAUUUGGUCGUGCGACUACUCCCACCUAAUCUUCUUAUGAUUUAUAGGAUAUUCGAACAUGAGCUUCAUCGUCGAUCAUGUGUUUCCGGCAUGGCGAGAAGACGCAACUGACGAAUUUAGCAAUUUUGCAUAUUGGCGGGAUCCGAUAGCAGAAGUACCGAAACUCGAAGAGCUUUACGC